rnacentral:lncRNA from 1 species
CUGUUCUCCAUGUGACAUGAGUGAUACAGACCCUGGCUUUCUACCAGCAGUGGCAAAACAGUUCCUUCUGCCUGACGAUCCCUCCUCGCUGAACCCAGCCUGCCCUUCAGGCUCCAUCUGCACUGACAGCCAGCCCAGGUGAGAACAGUUGCCUUCCUCUCCAUCUCAGAGGCAGUCCCUUCACAAGAAGAUCUGAAAUACUUGAAGUGAAUCAAAGAAGCCAUUAUGUCCCUGUCCUCCAGCCUGAAGAGUCUCCUCACCAUCUGUGUCCUCGCUGCUUUUGUUUCCAGCACUGUGGGUAAGAAUGAACAGAUGCCCCUUUCUCCCAAAGAUCUGAAGGGUGAAGAUAGC